UUUAUCUUAUUUUUCCUUCCUUUACCAUAUGUUCAUCUAUUUUGUUUUUUAAAUUCCACAUUUGAGUGAAAGCAUACAUUUGCCUUUCUCUGACUGAAUAAUUUUGCUUAGCACGAUACAUUCUUGUUCCAUCCACGUUGUUGCUAAAUGGCAAGAUUUCAUUCUUUUUGAUCGCGGAGUAAUAUUCCAUUGUGUAUAUAUACACCAUAUCUUCUUUAUCCAUUCACUACUUUGGUAUAUUGAGGUUCUCUAAGAAGUACAUCUUCCAUCAUUAUUUUAAGAGAACAUUCAGAACCGGAGGUAAACAGGUUUUUUGGACACGGAGAUUUGGGUCCAAUUCAGCCGUGACUCCUCUGUCACAAGGCAGGCAGGCUUGAGUGUAUGUGACCUCUCGCUUAUCUGCAGAGGAAGAACCCUGACCGUCAGUCAUGGUUUCAUGGCUAGGAGAACUACCAGAGUCAAGUUUAUACCUUGUGCCUUAGGGGCUUUUGAGGGGUGUUUGUAACUUGCUACCUCUAAACUAAAAGCUGUGUUUGUGAAGUGCUUAAGCCUACUUAUUAGAGAUCUUUUUGUUGUUUCCAAGUGUUGCCUGUGAAUAGGCUGGGGCCACCAGUUAACAGGGCUUCUUAGAAAUGUUCUAAAAAUUUAAAACAAUGGCUGGAGAACUUUAGUCUCCAGAGUUUAUGACCAUUCUUUUGGCUAUUUAGAGGCUUUUUUUUUUUUUUUUGGUUUACUUUCUAGUUUUUAGCUGUGAAGCUGAGGUGAUGAGGUUUGCAGGCACGAGAUGUUACUGUAAGAAAUGCCACAGCAAGCAAAGGAGCCUUGGGGUUUAGUGGGGGUGCUAAGGCAAAGGGCGGGGAGGGGGGGCAGAACUUGCAGGCUUGUGUGAAGAAGAACUGAGAGAAGAGGAUUGCCUGGUUUUCUGUAGGCUUGUUGGUGAGGGUGGAAUUUUGGUUGUUUGUAGGAUUCAGGUUCUGUGGAGGUGGGAAGACCAGAGCCAGUAGUUUCCCUCUCUCCAGGCAGGUGGUGGCAAAGUAAAGAAUGAAGGGAAAGAAGCUGCUCAUUAACUGCAUUCCUGCUGGGCCGAGGAGCAGCCUGACUGGGGAAACCCCACCCUUGCUUCUUCCCAACCUCAGACUGGUCCAGCCUGUGGGGUUUGCCUUUCUACCCCAUUUCUGCAUUUGUCCUCAACAGCACUCCAUUUAUCAAAGCCACUUUCAAUGUUAGUCUGGACCUCCAAGCGUCAGCCCUGCUUCCCAGUUUGAGGCCACACUGGAGGAGAAAGUUUUCCACUCUGCAGGCAGAGUCAACACCCUGGACCCACCGGGACAGCACUGACGUCACUGAAGAGGGAGCUGGUGUCUGGGUCCCUUCCUCUGCGUGGCUAUCCUGCUUGGACGACCUGUGCGAUGCUCUUCCAGUUGGUGGAGGAUCGCUUUGUACCAACAGACUCUGGGAAUCUGGGAAAAACUAGGCCACCCCUCCCUGCUCCUUGAUGUUCCAGGCCUGUUCCAGUGAGUCGAGGGAUUAGUUUAUGUCCCUUGGCUUCCAGGAUGGAGGCAGGAGACGCUCAGGAAAAGUGCUGAGUGUGAGGUUUGGAAGACGACCAGGUGUGACCGCUUUCCUCUCCGGAUGUCUUGGGCUUGGGCUGCCUCGGCUGAGAAAGUGCAAACAUCCCACCUGGUUCCCUUGGGGGCCUGGCUGAGACUGCACCAUUUUCUAGCUUUCUCGGGGCUCCUGUCUCCUUCUUCCUCAGGCAGACAGUCGCCUGUUGCUGUUGUCAAAAGUGGAAUGUGACAGCGCCUCAUUCCUCACUACCUCCCCGGCCUCUCUGCACAAUUCUUUUGUGGAGUCGUAAAAAGCCUCACCCAGGUCACUCCCGAGGCAAACAGCACCACUGUGUGAUAGUGGGCUGUAAACUUUCUGAUAACGUAACAUUUCCCGACAAUACAUUCCUGAGCACUCCACUCCACGGUCUGUGUGUUCACUUACAAAUUGAACUGUUUAAAUAUGUACAUUAUGCAAUGCAAACUUUUGAAUGGUGAAAUUUAAAAUACAGUACGUAGGGGUUCUACUGUGUUCUUCCUACACCUCAAUUUGUAGCCCACUGUUUAGAGAGCAGGAACCUCCUUCCCAUGGUCUGCCCUGUCACCACCCCGAGGUCACUUUUUGCCUUUGGAAAUAAAUAUAAACACAGAUAGCGCA